UCGGUACAGAUGUACCGAUUAAACAUGUGCAGUGAGCCACUGCAACGGCAGCUGCAUAAAUCCUGUAUGGGCCGAUCCACAUCUCACGGUAGGCACCAAAUGAUUACAAGGAG
rnacentral:ncRNA from 1 species